UCAAGUCACUGCAGUAAAAACAUCUUCCUCACACACUGCCCGGUUAAAUUUUACAACUUCUCCUCCCAGAUGAUACAGUGUCAGCUUUAACCUCCUCCAUCAGCACCCUGUCCUCUUAAAUCAUCUGAAGGUGUGUUUUGGCAGCUCAUAUUUUAACUUUAAGAGGUGCAACAGUAUCAAGAGACACUCUGAACUUAUGAAAUGAAGCAAAAACAUGGAGAGAGGAGAGAUACAGAGCUCAUCCAGGCUGAACAUGAAGCAGCAGUGUUUUUAAAAUGCUCCAGAGGAAGAAAACUGAUGUUACAACUGAUUUAGUGAUGAUCUGACGUCUCCUGUAGUAACAGAGGCUGACAGGAUCUGAUCUGUGCCAGGCUGAGACAGUGUGUGUGUGCCAGCUCUGCCUGGCGUGGCAGCUUGAGAGAGGCUGGCCUGAGGUCAGGUUGACAUGAGGUGAAAAGGACGUAGCAGAUGGAGUCUGAAGACACUGAUGUGUAACGCUCAGUGGGAUUCAGAGAAGAGACCAAAAGACGGAGUUUAUAGAAGGGAUUCAUCAUCAGCUGCAGAUUAUCUAUUUGUCUUUUGCUUGAGGAUGAACAACGAGAGUGGCCCGUGAAAUGAUCCUUUAAAUAAAGAGACAGUCACUUCACACAGAAACAGAGCAACAGGAAAGAUCACACCAUCCACCAAAAGUGUCAGAAGGAUGAAGCAAAGAGAGAGCGGAGUGAUGAGGAGAAGCCCACUGACACCGCUCUGCACUGAAAUGUGUUUCUUCUAUUUCUCUUCACACAUCACAACCUCUGUGUGAGUGUGAAUUUGUGUGUGUGUGUGUGUGUGUGUGUGUGUGUGAGAGUGAAUGUGUGUGAGGCUGUUUGUGGAUGCAGAAGCUCUUCUACCUGAGCAGAGUCUCGAGGGAAACAGAUGGAGAGAGAUAUGAAACCUGUCUGGAGGAUGUUACAGGCAGAGUGUGAGGAAAGACAGAGAGGACAAAAUAAAAAGUGCAGCAGUGUUUGGCAAAGGAUGAGUAUGAGGUGUUAUCUGGGAUGUGAAGAUAUUCAUGUGUUUUUAUCAUCAAAUCCACAACUGGCUGGAGUCGGCACAUUACUGCUAACUGAUCAAGAUAAAUGAUAAAGAGUGACGAGGGCUCAGAGGCUUCAUGAGAACAUGAGUGUCAACAGUCUGAACAGUGAGUGAGUUAUGUGAUCAAUUCUUCAGUCUUCUCUCUAAACAAGUCACCAGGCCGAGUGAUGAAGCAGCUCAUUUUCUGCCAUCAAAGGUUUUUCUGGAGGUUUUGUGAAGGUGACUGAACUCAGAGAACGAUAUCUCAGCUUGACCACGUGAGGGUGGUCGAGCAUAUUGAAUAAAUCUGGCACAGUUCAUCUGUUUUGCUUCCUUCUCUCAUUUCAUGUGUUUCACUGCAGCAUACAUAUCAUCUUGCAUCACAGCUGUUCUCAUCUCAAGAUGGCCUCUACGUUUUUCUUCUAAAGCUCAGAGACGUUGCAUGAGCUCAAAUCUACUGUGAGGCUGAUCCAGAGUCUGUGGCUGUUUGAAUCAAAUACAUCAUCACUGUAGUCGUUAGUACUGGAGAGAGGAACAGAUAAUAUCAGUGUCAGUGUAUAUGAGGUGAGGGAGAGCCGGCAGGACUCCAGCCUGAGGCUUUAACAUGCAGACGAGCCAGGAGGAGGAAGAUGAGGAACCAGAUCAAACAGCCAGCAGUGGUUCUCUCCUCACACUAACUGCUGCAGGAAGAAAGUCAGGACGAGAGACUUUUUCACUGUGGAGAUAUCAUCACACACACACACACACACACACACACACACACCUCAGUCUGUGGAUAUCUCUCUCCUCAUCUGUGUUUCUAAAGUACCAGCUGAGGUUCAGAUCAAAGCCAAAGAUACUCUGGAAAAGUUACAAAAAUACGUGUUAGAGUAGAAGUGAAAUAUAUGUUGAUGUGGUUUGCUGCUGUUUGAUGAUUCUUCACACAGAGGCAACUGAAUCAGGACAAACAUGAUACUUGUUAUGUUAUAAGUGAAAUGACUAUAAUGCAUCACACUGGGUUUAAUGUGACACUCAGAGGAUCACAGAUGAGAGUUAAUGAGCCAACAGAACUGUAUUCAGCUCCAUGAGGCUAAAACAUGAGAACUUUCGGUUCAAACUCCUGAUGAACGAUGUAGAAACUGUCCUGGUCACUGUGAGCAACACUGAUAUGGAAAAGUCCAUGUCCACAAGGAAGGAAAUUAACACUGUAAUCAAUGAACAACAGACUAUUGUUCACUGAAAAAUCAGCUCACUGUUUGUGUGAUGUAAUGUGCAGUAACAUGUGUGUCAUAUUGUCACUGUUACAGUGAGCACAGUUUCCACAGGCUGCAGGCUGUUUGACAGCUUCACUACACUGAGACAUGAGAAAUCUUCCAGCUGGUUACAACCUGAGUUUAGUUUCUCCUCUGAGUCUGUCGCCUGUCGCUGUACAGCAGUUCAGUGAAAGUGAUUAACCUGGACUGCUCCCGUCAUGAUCCA